UACGUAGGGUGCAAGCGUUAAUCGGAAUUACUGGGCGUAAAGCGUGCGCAGGCGGUUAUGCAAGACAGAUGUGAAAUCCCCGGGCUUAACCUGGGAACUGCAUUUGUGACUGCAUAGCUAGAGUACGGUAGAGGGGGAUGGAAUUCCGCGUGUAGCAGUGAAAUGCGUAGAUAUGCGGAGGAACACCGAUGGCGAAGGCAAUCCCCUGGGCCAAUACUGACGCUCAUGCACGAAAGCGUGGGGAGCAAACAGGAUUAGAUACCCUA
rnacentral:rRNA from 1 species